GAUGAACGCUAGCUACAGGCUUAACACAUGCAAGUCGAGGGGAAACGACAUUGGAAGCUUGCUUCCUUUGGGCGUCGACCGGCGCACGGGUGAGUAACGCGUAUCCAACCUGCCCACCACUUGGGAAUAACCUUGCGAAAGUAAGACUAAUGCCCAAUGACAUUGAGUGCGGACAUCUAAUCUCAAUUAAAGAUUUAUCGGUGAUGGAUGGGGAUGCGUCCGAUUAGCUUGUUGGCGGGGUAACGGCCCACCAAGGCAACGAUCGGUAGGGGUUCUGAGAGGAAGGUCCCCCCACAUUGGAACUGAGACACGGUCCAAACUCCUACGGGAGGCAGCAGUGAGGAAUAUUGGUCAAAUGGGCGAGAGCCUGAACCAGCCAAGUAGCGUGCAGGAUGACGGCCCUAUGGGUUGUAAACUGCUUUUAUAAGGGAAUAAAGUGGGCUCGUGAGCUCUUUUGCAUGUACCUUAUGAAUAAGGACCGGCUAAUUCCGUG
rnacentral:rRNA from 1 species